AUUGAACGCUGGCGGCAGGCCUAACAAAUGCAAGAUGAGCGGAUGAAGGGAGCUUGUUCCUGGAUUCAGCGGCGGACGGGUGAGUAAUGCCUAGGAAUCUGCCUGGUAGUGGGGGCUAACGUCCGGAAACGGGCGCUAAUACCGCAUACGUCCGGAGGGAGAAAGUGGGGGAUCUUCGGACCUCACGCUAUCAGAUGAGCCUAGGUCGGAUUAGCUAGUUGGUGGGGUAAAGGCCUACCAAGGGGACGAUCCGUAACUGGUCUGAGAGGAUGAUCAGGCACCUUGGCACUCCGACACGUCCCACACUCCUACGGGAGGCACCAGUCUGGAAUCUUGGCCCUAGGGCGAAAUCCUAAUCCAGCCAUGCCUCGUCUGUGAAGAAGCUCUUCGGAUUGUUAAGCAGUUGUAGUUGGGGGGAACGGCAGUAAGUUAAAGCCUGUCUUUUUUCACGUUACCAACUGAAUAAUCACCGUCUAACUACGUG
rnacentral:rRNA from 1 species